GAUGAACGCUGGCGGCGUGCCUAACACAUGCAAGUCGAGCGAACAGACGAUGAGCUUGUUCUUUUCACGUUAGCGGCUGACGGGCGAGUAACACGUGGAUCACCUUCUUAUAUUUCUGGGAUAAUCUCGGGAAAACGGAUCCAAUACCGGCUAAUAUACUGAACCGCAUGGUUCAAUAGUGCUUGACGGCUUUGCUGUCUCUAUUAGCUGCUUCCGCGCCGCAUUAGCUAGUUGGUAAGGUAACGGCCUACCAAGGCUACGAUGCGUAGCCGACCUGAGAGGAUGAUCGGCCACACUGGAACUGAGACACGGUCCAGACUCCUACGGGAGGCAGCAGUAGGGAAUAUUCCGCAAUGGGCGAAAGCCUGACGGAGCAACGCCGCGUGAGUGAUGAAGGUCUUCGGAUCGUAAAGCUCUGUUAUUGGGGAAGAACAGAUGUAGAAGUAACUAUGGACGUCUUGACGGUACCUAAUCAAAAAGCAACGGCUAACUACGUG
rnacentral:rRNA from 1 species